GGGUAUAGUUUAAUGGUAAAACGAAGGUCUCCAAAACCUUUGAUGUGGGUUCGAUUCCUACUACCC
rnacentral:tRNA from 4 species